GGGGAUAUUCCCGUCCUGUUAGAUUCACUCAUGUGAAUGCAGUAGAAGCAGUCCACCUUUGUAAGAUCUCUAAUGAACACUGCCUGUACAAAAGAAGUUCAUCUCAUCACAGUGUUUCCUUCUUAAACUAGAUGUUUAAAAGGCACCAUGCCUUGCUGUCAGCUGUAAGAAACUGUGUCAGGAGGGACUGAAAAUACGAGCCAGUAGUGCCUCAUGUGGAUCAAUAAAGAGAGGAGGAGAGAUGCCAGGAACCAUAGAAAGCCUGCUGUCAUUACUGGAGGAACAUGCAAGUGUCCUUUACAACUGAUGAUACUUCCAUAUGACAGCUGUCAGAGGCACUAAUUGUUGCCCUACAGUCUUCACAUUAGUGUCCCUAUUAACAAUUAUUAGCUCACCGAACUUCGGAUGAUUGCUUUACU